rnacentral:rRNA from 1 species
GACGAACGCUGGCGGCGUGCUUAACACAUGCAAGUCGAACGGAAAGGCCCUGCUUUUGUGGGGUGCUCGAGUGGCGAACGGGUGAGUAACACGUGAGUAACCUGCCCUUGACUUUGGGAUAACUUCAGGAAAAUGGGGCUAAUACCGGAUAGGAGCUCCUGCUGCAUGGUGGGGGUUGGAAAGUUUCGGCGGUUGGGGAUGGACUCGCGGCUUAUCAGCUUGUUGGUGGGGUAGUGGCUUACCAAGGCUUUGACGGGUAGCCGGCCUGAGAGGGUGACCGGCCACAUUGGGACUGAGAUACGGCCCAGACUCCUACGGGAGGCAGCAGUGGGGAAUAUUGCACAAUGGGCGGAAGCCUGAUGCAGCAACGCCGCGUGCGGGAUGACGGCCUUCGGGUUGUAAACCGCUUUCGCCUUUGACGAAGCGUGAGUGACGGUAAUGGGUAAAGAAGCACCGGCUAACUACGUG